GCGUGACCCACGCGCUCGUUCUGUCUCUCUCUCAACGAGGCCUUCUUCGCUUUCCCUCCGCUUCCUCGCCGCUGCUGCGGCCACCAACGCGACCAUGUCUUCACGCGCCACUUAUCGAAGUAGUCGAAACCGAUGGAGGCGAGGGUUUUCGAACCGGUCAGACGCCGGCGAGAGCGGCGAGUUAGUGACCGGAGACUCACAUUUCCGGUCGGUGAGAGACGCGAACCUAGGGUUGCGGCAAGGAGAGAGGAGGAACUUUAACGAGAGUGGGUUUCAGCCCCAAUCUUACAAUCCAAGACAACCUUUUCCUCGAAAUCAACCGUUCCGGAGGCCUCCACCGUUCAAUCCAAAUCAACCAUUUCGGCAGUCACCUGCGUUCAAUCCAAACCAACCGUUCCAGCAGCCUCCACCGUUCAACCCAAAUCAACGUUUCCGUCAACCUCCGCCAUUCAACCCAAAUCAACCUUUCAAUCAAAAUCACCGCUUCCAGCAACCUCAGCAGUUCCAGCCACGGCCAACUAGGCCCUUGGAUUAUCGGAACUGGGAGUAUUCUGAAGCAGGACCUUCUUCUCACUGUGAGCGGUUUACAGUUCUCUCAUAUAAUAUUCUGGCUGAUUAUCUUGCUGUCAACCAACGAAGCAGACUUUACUUUCACAUACCUCGCCAUAUGUUGGACUGGGAAUGGCGAAAGAGAAAUAUAAUUUUCGAGCUUGGACUGUGGUCUGCUGAUGUUAUGUGCUUUCAGGAGGUAGAUAGAUUUGGUGACUUGGAGGAGGAAUUGAAGCUCCGAGGAUACACUGGCAUUUGGAAGAUGCGAACUGGUGAUCCAGUGGAUGGCUGUGCUAUCUUUUGGCGAGCAUCAAGAUUUAAGUUGUUGCACGAGGAAUGCAUUGAAUUCAAUAAGCUCGGACUCCGAGAUAAUGUUGCUCAGAUUUGUGUCCUGGAGUCAAUUAAUCAGAAUUAUAGUUGGAGUACGUCAGCUCUACCUGCAAGCUCAACAGGUUCUAAUAAGGUUGUUAUCUGCAACAUUCAUGUGCUUUACAAUCCUAGAAGAGGAGAGAUCAAGCUUGGGCAGGUUAGGGCACUCCUCGAUAAGGCUCAUGCUGUUUCUAAGAUUUGGAAUGAUGCUCCUAUUGUUAUUUGUGGGGAUUUCAACUGUACUCCGAAGAGUCCUUUAUACAAUUUUAUAUCUGAACAGAAGUUAGAUUUGUCAGGACUGGAUAGGGAUAAGGUAUCAGGACAAGCUUCUGCUGAAAUUCGUGCACCAAGGCAAUUUAGCCCAAAUCCCAGGAUCCAGUUGACUGAUAAUUCAGCACAAGGUCUAACUAUGAAUGAUGUAAGGGAAGUUGGUGCUAAGGACUCUGAUUCCCUCUUAGAAAUUCAGAAGCAGACUUAUCCAGAUAGCAAUGUGGGAAAUGUAGCUUCUAUGGAUAACUUGUCUCAGGCUCAAUGUAUUAACACAGUGUUGCAUGUUGACAAAUCUUGCACUAAUGGCCAACAUGAGAAUGAUACAAGGGCACCAUCUGAUGAAAUGAUAAAAGAAACUCAGCAGGAGAAGGUAGGUGGCUUUGAGAAUGAAACUGAACCAACUGCCUAUGAUCCAGUUGAUGAUUCAAAGGAAAAUCAAAGUAUUUCCCUUAUUGAAGGUGAGGCUGUUGUUGACCAGGUGAAUGGUGGGAUUUGGGAAAAUACUCCUCCAGCAGCUUCUCUUCAUGAAGAGACUUACUCUUCUGAUAUGAUUGAGAGGAGACAGGGAGAAAGAAUUACUGUCAUCUCUAAUCCUGUCCAUCAGUUUUUUAGUGAACAUUCUCAACCAGGUGUUGAUGAUGAGAAGGAUACCCCCUCAACCCCAUAUGAAAUUAACAUCUCUGAUGCAUCUACCAGCUUUGAUAUUGUGCUGGAUAAACAGCUGGAGAAUUUAACACUUGAUGAGGCAGAUGAAGACACAGAGGAAAAUGGAAAUUUAGGUGAAGAUUGUAGCACAUUUUUAUCUGAAUUGAACAAGACAGAAGAGACAUUUCCAUCAGACUUUGGUCAAUCUGUGAGAAGUGACCAAAUUCUGGAUGAUUUUUCUCCAAGCAUAGAGCCUGAGCCUUUUGAAAUGGAGAUAUCUGCAUAUGAUCCUUCGGUAUGGACUCCGAUGGAAAUAGAAACUGCAACAGGUAAUGCGGACUGCACACAUCUGGAGCACCCUCUAAAGCUGAAAAGCACAUAUACAGAAGUGGAGGAUCGUUCUGGGACAAAAGACUCAAAUGGAGAACCCUUAGUUACCAGUUACAACAGGUGCUUUUUGGGCACAGUUGAUUAUAUUUGGCGAUCUGAAGGUCUCAAAACUAUCAGAGCGCUUGCUCCAAUACCAAAACAGGCUAUGCAAUGGACUCCAGGCUUCCCAACUAAGAAAUGGGGCAGCGAUCAUAUUGCCUUGGCAACAGAAUUGGCUUUCACAAAGGAUUGACCAGUUAUAAGACCUAAGUUCUUUCACAUCCAAGCUCUACAUUCCAAAAAGACUCAGAUCCCCCAUCAGCUAUCUCUGCAUCUAAUCUGCAAGUUUUGGAUUUUGGGGAAGUCCACAAGUUUUUUACACCUUUAGAUUACAACUGAACUACAAUGCCGGUUGUGAGCCCUGACAUGUAUGAAAAUGAGCUUCAUCGACAACUUUUGUUCCUAUAUCUGCAAGUUUCCUCAAAAGGCCAUGGACACAGUAGGGUGGGCUAAUGUGGCCCAAACCCAGGCCCAUGAUGACUGCGACAAUGCUAUUGGGCUCUCAUCUUUAUCCUACACCAAGUUGCCAACAUCACAAUUUUGACAUGUCUUUUUGGACCCCAGAAUCGAAGUAUCCAAGGCAGGAGUUGGCAGCUAAUAGUAAUAGCAAGCAGAGGAAUUUUGAAGCCCACGUGGACAGACCCACUUGUACAAAAAGGUGGACCCAUUAAACCCAAACCCCCACUCCAAAAUAAUAAUAAAUUAAGGGCAGAUGGAGAAACAGCUCAUCUCUCCCUUCACUUUCUCACAAUCAAGUGAAGUGACAACAGAAGGAUUUGAAAGAAAGAAAAAGAAAGCAAGCCAUGGAAGCAACCACUGCAGUGUGUGGUCCACAAGUCUCAUGUCUACAUCUUUGGUCUGACGCUUCUCAGAAUGUCAGAACAGAAAAGGACAGAUAGGUUUUUAUUUUGUUUUUUUCAUUUUUUAAAAUCAAAUUGCUGAGAAAUUAUUAUUCUUCCGGUUUAAAAUAGUUCGUCCAACGAGGAAUGUAGGUCAACAUAGAUUUGAGACAAACAUAACUAUAUUUAAUCCAAAUUCUAAGGAAAACAUGUCAAAUUUUAUUUA